GCAAGACCGUGAGGUGGAGCAAAACUCAAAAACUUAGUCUCAGUUCGGAUUGUAGGCUGAAACUCGUCUACAUGAAGCUGGAGUUGCUAGUAAUCGCGAAUCAGCAUGUCGCGGUGAAUACGUUCCCGGGCCUUGUACACACCGCCCGUCACACCAUGAGAGUUGGCAAUACCCAACGUACGUGAUCUAACCCGCAAGGGAGGAAGCGUCCUAAGGUAGGGUCAGCGAUUGGGGUGAAGUCGUAACAAGGUAUC
rnacentral:rRNA from 1 species